AGGCAUAAACUAAAGUUUUUAUGAAGAUGCUCCGGGCUUACUACAAUCAUGACAGGCAAUGUGAAAACACUUUUGCGUGUAAUUGACUGGCACUGCACAGAAAAAUGUCCAUACCCUUAUUGUAUUCAUGUCUCUGCAUUGUUGUUGUUAACAUUUUCAGUUGGAUGUACUGAUGAGAAAAUACUUGCUUCUGCAUGUUCGAAUUAUGAUAAUGGGUAAUCUAUUUUGUACUGGUCACUUCAUCAAUAGGCGGUUUGACAUCAAAGGAUCCUCUCAUGGCCUCUUACUACUAAACCAGAGUCUGAAAUCGAAAUAUGACGCUCAAAAAUCAAAAAUUUGUAUUCAGAUUGCAAAAGAAUGGUCCAAGAAUUCUCCAGGCAAGUGGACAAAGACUGUGAAGUCACUGAACAAGAGAGACUCAUAGAAUAAAGUCUCUCAGUUGGUCUGAUAAAGAGUUAAAGACAUAAACUGCCUGAACGAGGUUCGACCAUGGGAUUACUAAAGCUAUUGUAAACUUUGAUAAAGACACAUAAUGUAACCUCUGGAAACUUCUGGCAAAAAGGUUUGUAAAAAGUUUUUGAACGAACAUGAAUACAUUGCUCAACAAAAAGGCUACGUAAAUUAAUGUCAG